AUGACCUCACCGGCGGGGCCGAGCAGCAUGGGCAUGAACACGGUGACCACGGUGAUGGCCUUCUCGGUCAGCGCCUUCUUCGUGCUCUUCGUCUUCACCAGGCUCUUCUGCGCGCGCAUCCACCUCAGGGCCGCCGCGGCGGAGCACGCCGCUGCCGCCCAGGCCAGCGACGCCGUGUCCUUCCCGGCCAUUCACGUGGAGCGCGGCAUCCGUGGGAUGGAGCCGUCCAUGGUGACCACCUUCCCGACGGCCAAGUUCGGGACCGGCGACGACUCGCAGCGGCCGCCCGCUCAGGAGGAGUCACAGUGCACGGUGUGCCUGGAGGAGUACGAGGCCAAGGACGUGGUGCGCGUGCUGCCCUACUGCGGCCACGCCUUCCACGCCGCCUGCAUCGACACCUGGCUCCGGCAGCACCCCACCUGCCCCAUAUGCCGCUCCACCACCAAGCACCGCGCCGCCGCCGGGACAAUGCCGCCCGUGUACUACGCCGUCGCCAUGGCGCCGCCGCCGUUCCAGGCGCCGACAUCUUCGUCAGAUCAGGGCGCACUGCAGCAAGCAGACGCAGCCACGGCGGCGGUGGGCGCGGAGCACAUGGACGUAACGUCCAGCCGUCUGGAGCUGGAGAUCGUUAUUUCCGACGAGUCGGCCUCCUCCGGCGCCACCUGUCCGAUCGCGACCCUUGCUCCGCCAUUCCAGGUCCCGACGUCUUCGUCGGACCACGACGCGCUGCGCGAAGCAAACCCAGCCACGGCGUCGGUGACUGCGGCGGUGGGCACAGACCGUAUGGACGUGUUGUCCACCCGUUUGGAGAUCGUUAUUUCCGACGAGCCGGCCUCCUCCGACGCUCCCUGUCAGAGCACGGCCAGUGAGGAGCAUCCUUGUGCCGAGACGAGGAGGCAGAGCUCGCAGGGCAAUGCGUGGGAGCAUCGCCAGUGCUGA
rnacentral:rRNA from 1 species